rnacentral:rRNA from 1 species
CGCCAGCCCGCUCAGAAACUCAAAGGAAUUGACGGGGCCCGCACAAGCGGAGGAACAUGUGGUUUAAUUCGAUGAUACGCGAGGAACCUUACCCGGGCUUGAAAUGCAUCUGACCGGCCUUGAAAGAGGCACUCCCUUCGGGGCAGAUGUGUAGGUGCUGCAUGGUUGUCGUCAGCUCGUGCCGUGAGGUGUCGGCUUAAGUGCCAUAACGAGCGCAACCCUCAUCAUUAGUUACCAUCAGGUAAGGCUGGGGACUCUAAUGAGACUGCCAUCGUAAGAUGUGAGGAAGGUGGGGAUGACGUCAAAUCAGCACGGCCCUUACGUCCGGGGCUACACACGUGCUACAAUGGCCGGUACAAAGGGUUGCGAAGCCGUGAGGUGGAGCGAAUCUCAAAAAGCCGGCCUCAGUUCGGAUUGGAGGCUGCAACUCGCCUCCAUGAAGUCGGAAUCGCUAGUAACCGCAGAUCAGCUACGUUGCGGUGAAUACGUUCCCGGGCCUU